UGGGGAAUCUUGGACAAUGGGGGCAACCCUGAUCCAGCCAUGCCGCGUGAGUGAUGAAGGCCUUAGGGUCGUAAAGCUCUUUCGCCUGUGAAGAUAAUGACGGUAGCAGGUAAAGAAACCCCGGCUAACUCCGUGCCAGCAGCCGCGGUAAUACGGAGGGGGUUAGCGUUGUUCGGAAUUACUGGGCGUAAAGCGCACGUAGGCGGACCAGAAAGUUGGGGGUGAAAUCCCGGGGGCUCAACCCCGGAACUGCCUCCAAAACUAUUGGUCUAGAGUUCGAGAGAGGUGAGUGGAAUUCCAAGUGUAGAGGUGAAAUUCGUAGAUAUUUGGAGGAACACCAGUGGCGAAGGCGGCUCACUGGCUCGAUACUGACGCUGAGGUGCGAAAGUGUGGGGAGCAAACAGGAUUAGAUACCCUGGUAGUCCACACCGUAAAACGAUGAAUGCCAGUCGUCGGGUAGCAUGCUAUUCGGUGGACACACCUAACGGAUUAAGCAUUCC
rnacentral:rRNA from 1 species